rnacentral:lncRNA from 1 species
GCAGGCGGCGUUCCGCUGUUAGCCUCUCGCACCGUGUGGGUCCGCCGCACAGUGCCACCUCUCGUCGCGUCCGGAGUCGUCGGCUCGCCGACGCCGCCCUGCCGGUUGCGACGGUUGGCGGUUGCCUAGCAAGCAGCGGUGCUGGCGCCAUUCGCGGGGCGUGGCGCCGCAGGCAGGAAGCUCCCGCCUGCUCCCGCUUCGUCUUCUCGCUCCAACCGAAUCCCAAGGUUCGCCUCCCUCCACCUGUCCCAUCCUCCCAAUGUUUCCAGUUUUGCGCUUCCAUUCGCCGACCCAUCGUGUCCUCCCAGCAGUGCCUGUCCCGCGUUCGUUUGCGCGUGUGCGGUCCAAUUAGAACUGCGGAAUUUGAGCCCCAGAUUUCACCACCGUGGUUGCUAGUUGCUUGUUGCUACGGAAAGUUAGUUGCUAAAUUUUAGUGUUGUACAUUGCAAUUUGCAAAUGUCGGCUGGAGUGGGCACAGUGAAUCUCCUGACAAUUGGCGCAAAAUAUGUGGGCAAAUUAGUUCUCAUCAUCGCCCUGCCAUACAAACUAGGAUGAGGCUAUUCUGCAGAAUUGCCAACUUUGUACAUGAAGCAAUUGAACACACCUUAAGAGCUGCAUUAGUUUUACACGGGCCGGAUGUGCCUCCUUUCUCAUUUUUAUUGAGUUUACUUAAGGGACUAUACCCCCUGCCCAUAUGCAUUGCAACAAGACAAACGUUCAGUGUUAUUUUUUGAGGAAACAGAAGGGAAACCCCUGCUGAUUAUAUAUUAAUUGAAAAAAAAGGACAGUACAAAAAGCUACAACCUAUGAGACAAAAAAAGAGACAAAAAAAUCAAGAAAAUUACAAUGUGUGCUCUAGCCAUUCAGACAUAGGUUGCUUCCAAGCUUCUUUCACACGGUGCAAAAGCAAACUAAACAAAUGCCUGAAUCUAAAAUUUGUUCCUUGAGAAAUGCAAGGUGCGGCAACACUUGCCUGAAUGUUCCCCAAAAAACAAAAGCCUGAGCCCCACGGUUGAUAGAUAACCCCAAUUCAGUUCCAGAAACUGAAGCAUUCAGACAACAGUGAUCAUGUUACUUGUGCAGUGUUAUCGUGUUAAUUGUCUCUGAUGAAAUAGUGAAGUCUGAGCUACAGCCUUAAAGUGAUUUGACUGCUUCUAGGAAUAUAGUCACUGCUUUAAUAAGGUAAAAUUAUAAAUUCAAAUAACAGGAAUAUAUUGUUGAUUACAUAGCAGUACAUAAGCAUACUGAUUGGUGAGUACUGCUCUAUAUUUUCACCCAGCUUGAGUUUUAGAAAUUUACAGUGCUGUCCUGUUAUGAGUGCCGUAAUAAUUAAAUUAGGUAUUACUGUAUUUUUCCUCCACUAGUUGUUGUAGAAGUACGGGUACUGGGGCCACACUGACAUCUUGCCCUGCAAGAUUUGAACUAUUUGUUGGAUCGUUGGCCUGUGAGCCUCAUUGGUCUGAAUGCACCGGCACGCAACCUUGCAUGAUCUCUCUAGCUCUUGAAUAUCCGCAUCAUUUAGUCUGUGAUCCAAGAUUUCAGAAAUGUCACCUUCACUUAUCCUAAUUGUGGCCACACUGGAAAGUACCUUACGGUUCAAUUCUCCAUCAACUUUGAAUUCCUUCUGCCUGAAAUUAUCUCGAAUAGCAUCAUUCAUAGCUGUACACAUCUGCUUUUGGUGUUAUGGGAAGACCUCCAAUCCAUUCUAGUGCAGAUACUCUAUUGCUCCUCUCAUAGUUGUCGAUGCCCUGCUAAAAUGUCGAUCCAUAACUACAUAAGCUUCGCCACACCAAAAUCAGACACUUUUGGACUGAAUUCUGCACAAGAAGUACAUUUUCAGGCUUUAUAUCACAACGUAUGAUGCGGUCAUGGCAUUCAUCGUGGAGAUAAUGUAAUCCCUUUGCAACACCUAGAAUGACUAGGAAUCUUGUGUUCUAUCCAAUAUCUUCUCAUUCUUGAAGAGAUGAAGAUGAUAUCUAGAGAUCCGUUCACCAUAAAGUCAUACACCAGCAGCCUUUCGACUCUGCUCAAGCAGAACCCACUUAGGUGAACCAGAUAUUAUGGUCAAUUUUCCCUAAAGCCCUCACCUCAGUGUGAAAUUUCUUCUCUCCUUGUUUCAUGCCUUGAAGCUUCUUGACAGCUAUUGGUUUGGAGUCUGGGAGCAACCCUUUGAGCACUGAACCAAAGCUACCUUGCCCCAGUUUAUCUGAGAAAUUCUUUGUGCAAUGCUGUAAAAAGGAAUAGUCAUAGAUGAUGAGAGUGUCAUUAUCUGAUAAAGUCUUUUGAGAUGAAGUCCUCCUUUGGAAUGUCUUAACAGUUAUGCCAAAAGCAAAUAGUGCCAUAAAAAUACUACCCUGGUGCAAUUAACACAGUAAGCCUCUCAGGAGGAUCGUGGAAGCAGUGGUAUUGUUGUGUCCAGUCCUUUAUUGUAUUCAGAAAAUAGGUUGGGUGCGUCUCUCUCAUUGUUCCAUGCCUACAAUCUACUAGCUCUUCUUAAUCUGGAGUCUAUAAUAACUUGACCAAAUCUUCAUCUCUCUCUAAAUGAUCCCAUGGUUCCACAUACAUCUUGAAACAACUCGAGUGAUGAACAAUACUUUGAAACAUUAGCGUAAUAACACUGAAAUCAUCAUGCGUACUGCAAGAGUGAUGUUGUAAUUUACAGCUACCAUCCUUAUAAUGAUGCCAGGCUGUGGCUAUUCAGCCUGGGAAAUAGAAAUUCAUCAGCAAAAGAAUACAUGCCCGACUCAGAUGUUACAAAACAUAGCCCCUGUUUUUUCCCCUCACUUAGCUGGCUAUCUCAUCGAAGUUGAUUGAUUGGGAUGCUUAAGUUUUCAUAUAAACAAGGAAACAGUAACACGGAAUUUGUUCGCACAGAAAUUUGGGGUCCGCUUGCUUAUUUUGUUAUUUUAUUUUCAUUUUUGAAAAAUCAAUCUGUACCUCCUUUUUUUAGAAAAAAAUAAUUUCAGCCUCAUUCACCAAAGAGUAUGCGCACGCCUGAGCUGAUGUUAGGAGCAAUUAGUCAAAAACAUAACUGUAACAAAAAAGCGUCUAUAUUCAGAUUCCAAUAUAUGGUUCAAAGGUGAACUCAUCAACUCAAUUUUACAUUUAGUAGGACAAAUGGGGAAGAUUGCAUGUGUACAUGCAACAGUGGUCCCUUUGUUAUAUUGGUUACUACACUCUGCACUAGAUCUACAGUAUUAAAGCAUAGCACAGUACAAAAGCGGAGCAUAUUAGGUUCUAAUUUAUGUACAUCUUCACUCACUCAUAACACUCUCCAAGUAUUUGCCCUAACCAAGUGCAGAUUAUCUGAUUUAUAUACUUUGGAAGUGUGAACCGCCUGAAGUAGCACUGUGUGUCUGGGAAGUUGUCGUGCUGUCCUGUGUCUGAGAAGCCUGACUUGAAGAUAUAUCUGAAAAGAAGUUCAUAACAUCAGGGCUUUCACCAAGAACUCUCAAUGACCUUGGAACAGGAGGCAUGUUAACGUCAAGGAAUCCCUCGAGGAUUUGAACAAUCUGGCCAGUUGUGGGUCUAGCACUUUCGUCAUCUUGGAUGCACCAACAGGCAACCUUACAAGCUCUUGUGAGUUCAUCAACAUUUGCAUCUCCAUUUAGCCUGGGGUCCAUCAAGCUCCGCACAUCCCCUUCAUGAAGCUUGCUUGCAGCGAAGGUUGGGAAGAAGGUGGAUCCACACUUUUCACCAUGAUCAGAAUUUCUCCUGCCUGAUAUGAGUUCGAAGAGCAUCAUACCGUAGCUAAAGACAUCUGCCUUUGCUGUUAUGGCCACACCACUGAUCCAUUCAGGUGCGAGGUAACCCCUUGUUCCUCUCAUUGUUGUCAAUACACGACUGAAGUCUCUGCCUAAGAGCUUCGCUAGACCAAAAUCAGCAACUUUUGGCACAAAUGACUCAUCCAAGAGUAUGUUUUCUGGCUUGACAUCACAGUGUAUAAUGCAAUCCCUACAUUUUUCAUGCAGGUAAUUUAAACCUCUUGCUGUUCCAAGUGCUAUUUGGUACCUGGAAGCCCAGCUCAGUUCCGUUGUCUCACCAGGAAAUAACUGCAAGUCCAGGGAGCCCUUCGGCAUGAACUCAUACACAAGCAGUCUCCGUGAUCCUUCAGAGCAAAAUCCAAGUAGACGGACCAAAUUGACAUGCUGGAUUGUCCCAAUGGUGCUCACCUCAGCACGG